GGUUUCCUCCUAAUUAAUUAGAAAAAUUAUAUUUUUUAAUAAUUAUAAUAAUCAAAUAUUUUAAAGCUUAAAAUAAGGCCAGCCAUUGCACGAUCUUUGUUUGCAGGGUUGGACUGAAAUAAAUAUGUGUUAAAAGUUCAUAAAAAUAAAUAAAUAAAGGCAAAAAGGAAUAAAAUCUCAGCAGAAUUGCAACUAUUUUGGAAAUUCAUCAAAUCUGAUUUUGUAAAAAUCUCAGCAGAAUUGCAACAAUUUAUAUAUAUAAAAUAGAGGGUAAAAACCAAUCAUUUAACAAUUUUAUUUGCAACAAAUUAACAAUUUAUUUACCGACUGAAGCAUUUAAAAGUUUUUGACAAAUUAAAAUAUAGGGAGUAAUUUCUAGAUUUUCAUAAAGUAGAAGGGUGCAAUUCAAAAAUUAGACCAAUUUGUUUCUUUGUUCCAAAAAUUCAGAAAGUAAAUAUGAAUAUACACAUUUAAUUAAUGCGUUGUAUAUGAAUAUACACUAGUGCAAGCAAUCCUAUAAUUUCGUACAGGUCUCGUAAUUGCUCGAUUAAAAUUUUCGAACCACCUCAACUUAAGAAAUUCGAUCCCAAAUUCAAAAUUUUCAAUACCAAUAAAAAUCAACUGAUUACAUCACCACUUGCAAAAUAUAACUAUAAAAACAUUACUAUGGAGAAAGCCAUAAAAAAAACAGUCCAAUUUACUAGAAUUGCAAUCUAAAAAAACCUCUUGAAUUGCAACUAAAUGAUACCUCUUCAAUUGCAACUAGAGCUUCAGCUUGCCAAUGAUUUAUGUCUGGAGCAAAUCGGUAGCCAACAGUCCAAUGCCUACAAAAGUUCACAUUGAACAUCAAUCUACUGGAACAACAGUGGUCAGAUACACCAGGCGCAAGAAAUUUAACAAGGGUGCUGAUAUACAAAAGAAUUUACACUUCUAAGCAUUCAGAAAUCAAAUUAAAAUCAAUUAGUAUUAAAAUAAUUAUCACAAUAUUUUUUGUCAAUUAAAGUAGCACAAUCGUUAACUGUCAGCCUCCUGGUCACUAAAGGAACACCAAGGUACCUAAUAGGCAGCCUUCCCAUGUUAACCCCAGUAAUUCUAAGAAUAUCCUCCAUUUCCUCUCAAGAAUCCCAAAAGCAAAAAAUUUCAGUCUUUGCAGGGUUAGGCUUUAAACCAGAAAAACAAAUUUAGAAUCACAUCAGGUAAGUGCUUGGUAAGUCAUUUAACCAAAAUCCUACUGAUACACUCACAAAAAAGCAGAGCAGUAUGAGAUUGGCCGAAACUCCCUCAUACACUAUUUUUAACCUUGGGAACUAAUACAAUUGUGGUUGUAUUAAAAGCAGGCAACAACUUAGAGUAAUUAAAAAAACACCACUGCUCUAAUCACAUCAGCGCCUACGAUAUGCCAUGCAACUUUGAAAAAAUCCCAGGCCAAUGUUUGCAUAGUUGGGUGUUGUGAAGGUUCCGGCAAUGCGGUUAGAUGCAAAACUCCACAUGCUGAUAGAAUGAACAUAGAUGAUUACAUAGACAACAUCAUUCUUGUAGCAGACACAGAACCUAAAUAAUUACAACAUGUCAUAUAAAACAGCGCAGUUACCAAAAGGCAACCUAGGCACUUGAGGCAGACAUACUUCAGGAAGCAUUUCCAUGUUAAUGGUAUGCAGCUAAUGUUUGUUUACCAAUCUAGCAGUCCAUUCUGAAUUAACCCUACCAUUAAUACACAUGUAUUAAAAGUCAAAAGGGAGAAGAGUAAUAAGAUUUGCUCAUGUAUAUAUUACACACUAAAACCAUGUCGGAUAUAUGCUUAUAUCAAAACACUCACACAAUUUAACAUAGAAGAAGGUUAAUUGACAUAAAUAGAAUGUCCUAAAAACCCUCUGAUUGAUGCAAACUUACCUCUUUUCAACUUUCAAGGUAUUCCAAGCCAAGACAAGCUAAAAUAAGUUAUCAUACAAUUUCGUUUCAUAUCAAUGUUAUAAAUAAAUACCCUAUCCUUAAGAAUGACAAAGCAUCUUAAAUCAGAACAUAAUGAUUCUAAAACUGCUAUUGACAAUUUAUAUAUAAAAGAGCCAAAAUCACCUAGAAGUUGAAUCACUAGUAGAUAUAAGGAAGAAAAUGGAAGUACAUAGAAAAGAAAGUAGUAACAUAAAUCUCAGAAAGAAACAAAAAUUGAAACGAAAAGAAAAGGUCAACAAUUCGGAAACAAACCAGCAAUGAACUAAAAUUGGGGAGAAGAAGACGAAGAGCUCUCCUUGUCUCUUUUCUAUACGCUUUUAACUGUAUUUUCCUCGACUCUGGGAUUUUUUUAUUUGUCUGCUGAAAUUGAAAAAAAAAAGAUCAAGAAUCAAGCCCUAGUUUUCAGAAACCUUAGAUGCCAAUUUUAAACGAUUGUAAACAGAGGUUUAACUAAUUUGAUGAAUCAAGUCUUACUAAAACCUCAUUUUAAAGGUGAAUGCAUGAUUCAAUUUCAAGAAAUGUUGAAUCUCUCAUCAUAGACAUAAAAGGGAAAACACGUUGACAGAAAAAUGUUAGGGCAGACAAUGUUUACCUUGAUUGAAUUGGAAAGGUUUUCUUGAGGGUUUCUUUGGAGAUACUUGUUGGGAUUUGAAGAACAGAAGUCUGUUUUUGGACUUGCCUACUCACUGCAUUUGAAGAACAGAAGGGUGAGUUUGGUUCAACAAAACAAUCAAAUGAAAGUGAAAUGGGAGCGAUGGAGGUCACUUACCUUGCAGCUUCUGUUUGAUGUUGGGAGGGAGAGUUCUGGAGGUGGAUUUUGGCUUGGGAAGAUGAGGGUAAAACAGGGCAUAAAAAUUGUAAGAAUGCUAAACGGAAGUUAAUCUGAACUUUGGGCAGGGAAUAGAAAUCGGUAAGGAGGAAUACGUACGUAAUGGGCAUUACAGCGAACCAUAGGUGGGGCCCACCGAUUCGACGCGUAAUGGUAUACCCAUUACAUCGAACCAAACAGAGUGUUACUA
rnacentral:lncRNA from 1 species